rfam:Schistosoma mattheei strain Denwood, Zambia genome assembly, scaffold: SMTD_scaffold0011838
AUCCGGCUGAUGAGUUUCAAAUAGGACGAAAAGCGUGUCCUGGAU